GAGCGUGUUGAGGUGAUGGUGGUGGAUAUUUAAACCUCAUGUGCUCAGGACAAAGUAAAACAACUGAGCUGAAAUGACAGGUGUAUUUUUAUGGUAAGCCGUGGUUUUCCUGUGAGCUGGUGUGAGAAAGAUCUCUGUCUCGUCUGUGGUCUCACUCUGUAUGAGAAAUGGUACGGUCUGUCCUCCUAAUUUUCUCUUUCUCAAGGUUUGUUUUCAUUUAUGAAGCAUUCGUACAUAUUUAUAUGUAUAUUUAAUGUUAUUAAAUGUAUUAAAUUUUGCUACUCUUGAAACGAGUGUCUCGAUGCUUUCACUUCAUCCAGGAGCUGUGAAAUGGCGCUGCUCGUCCUCCUGUUCUUCUUCCAUCUGAUUCUGGACAUUAACUCUCAAUGUGAGUCGUUAUUGUGGUGCUGUGAGUUCAGUGAUUUGUUCUAAUAGAUGUUUACAAAUAAUUCUAGAGAUUUUGAGAGAUACUUCUGCAUGUUCAGUUUGAUGUUCAGUGUGUGUAUUAAGUGGACUGUGUGAUUUGUGUGUGUGGUUGUAGAUGUUCCUCAGCCCCGGCUGUCCGUGACUCCUGAAGUUCUCACAGAGAGAGGAUCAGUGCAGAUUCACUGUCAUGUUCCAGACAAUGUUAAAGUGCAUCAGUGUUAUUUCUACCCAGAGAGAGACAACAGAAAUAUAAAACUCUCUCCAUCAUGUCAGCUCUCAGUCACUGGUUCUGAACUGAUCAGGUGGACAGGACGAAGUUCUCCUGGAACACUUCAUAUUACUUGUUACUAUGCUUUGGAUAACUCUGUUCGUAAUCCUUCUCCUCACUCUCUCCCAGCUCCAGUCACAGUGCUGAGUAAGCUCUACAUUACGUGUAUCUUUAUAAUAUAUGUGCAUUCUGUGUAUUAAUAUCUGCAUGAAUCAUAAAAUUACAUUCAUGUUCCUUAAUGCUAUUUUUGGUGUAAUUUAUUGAUUGAUUGAUUUUAUUUAUUCCUCUGCAGAUCAGAAACCGAGACUAAGCGUCAGUCAUGAUGGUCAGUUUGAUGUAUUCAGAUUUGUGUGUGAAAUAUCAGGGUCAGAGUCAGUAACUGCUGAUUUUAGCUGUAAUCUCUACACUGGAGAAAAUCCUCAGCCUUAUGUAAAGACAGGAUCUCAGAAGGCAGUUUGUAGAUUUACAGCAGAGAAAAAUGAUCUGUUUAAUCGUCUGCAGUCAGUAAAGAGUCGUGAAGUGAGCUGUGAUUAUUCACUGAUCUCUGACCCGACUGCUCGCUCUCUAAUGAGUGAUAAAUACAACAUGAUGCGUAAGUUAUAAUAAACAAAUUAUGUAUUCCAUUACUUUAUACCUUUGAAUAAUUUGAACUCAUUUUCAUUUCAUCUUUUGUCAGAUUUCUUUACAACAUCAACAACAACAACAACGACUCAGGCAUCCACUCCUGAAGAGAAACCCAGUGCAGAUUUGAGUCUGGUAACGACGCCACCAUCCACAGCUACGGAGGAAUCUACAGCAGCUUCUCCAGUUUUUUCAACUCCUCUGAUCACCACAAGACUCACAGCGACUCGUAAGUUUACUGUGUAGUAGGUCUUACUAUGAAACUAGAAACACUUAAACACCAGACACACACCUUUAAAACAGUUCCUGCUGUAACAGUUAAUGCAUUCAACUUGUUAUAUACUGUAGUGUAUAUUGCUGGAGUGAACAACCAGUGCUCCUAACAGUGAGUCACUAACUCAUAUAUAACAGUGAU